AUGUCGGAAGAAUUUCACCCAGACUCCACAGACCGUCGGUGCAUGUGUGAGUACAGACAGGCUCUCAUCUUGUGCGGCGCAGACUGGCAGGUGAACACCUACUCUUGCUGCCCUUCUUCAUUUGCAGUACUUUAUAAGAUUAGUCUCUUUGAAAGCUGUUUUCAGUCUAAACUGUCAAUCCUCUUCGAAUGUGGUCCCUCUUGCUGGGGAUGGCUUCUCAAAACCUGUGAGAAUGCUAUGGACUGGAAGACCCUUUCCUAACCAGCAGUCUCAGCCACGUGUCCCUGGUAACCUGCCCCACACCUUGGCAGUAGGGCAGACUGGGGACGGCUUUAAAGAAGCAGGUAAAAGAAGCCGAGUCCUCCUGCAAUUAAAGCUGUCUUUAAAGUACAUGCACAGCUUCCACUCCCACCUAUGUCAUUUUAAUCAACUUGUCAUCUAUGACAUGACUGUGUGUAUGCGAUUUUAAACACGUUUGGAACAUUCUUAAGCCGCACGCACGUGGAAAGAGUUUAGGUGGUAAAACUGAUCCAUUUGCUUAAGCCAGUUGACGUAGAGAGCGCAAUCCAUCCAUCUUCAUCAACUGGAGUGAAAAAAUGCUCACUUCACUCUAAACGGGCAUUGCUCAUGUGGACAGGAUGGACUCUCAGUGGUGGAGUUCUCUUGAUUCUGGGCUAUUCUGAGUCAGUUUCAUGAGUUACACGUUCUUAUUCCUGGAAGACUUGUUCUUCUUUGUUUGUGUGCUUUGGAUACGUUCUCCCGCUUGUCUACGCUUCGCUGCAAGGAUUGUGCUUUCUUGAGUGCACCAGUGUUGGUAGCCCUCGGCCGACCCAUUUCCAAGUGGAGCCAACGUCUCCACACUGAGUUCUGCCCGCUUGCCACCUGUGUAUGCUACACAGACAUAAAUACAUAAAGUGUAAAAUUAUAAAUGUGUUGUUUUGUAUUAAUCUGAGAAGUAACUCUAGGUGAUAUUUGCCCUUAGAAACCUGCUUGUUUUUUGCUUAUAUGUCAGUACUGUCUUCUUUGGUUUUUAGCAUGUAAAACACUCAAGUCAGAGGUAAACAAUGGGAUGUUUUGCAGUGCUGGUGCUUAGUUUACUUCUCAUUACCCAUUGACUCUUUUCUUCUCCCAGAUCUUACAGGGACCUAACGGCUACAGCAAGACUCUGUCUCCAUCACCAUCUCCAAUGCUUGGGCCAAGUCGAAACAAAAUGAGACCACUGUGUAGACCAGGU
rnacentral:lncRNA from 1 species